rnacentral:rRNA from 1 species
UCUUGACAUCCAGAGAAUUUAGCAGAGAUGCUUUAGUGCCUUCGGGAACUCUGAGACAGGUGCUACAUGGCUGUCGUCAGCUCGUGUUGUGAAAUGUUGGGUUAAGUCCGCAACGAGCGCAACCCUUUAUCCUUUGUUGCCAGCACGUAAUGGUGGGAACUCAAAGGAGACUGCCGGUGAUAAACCGGAGGAAGGUGGGGAUGACGUCAAGUCAUCAUGGCCCCUACGAGUAGGGCUACACACGUGCUACAAUGGCGUAUACAAAGAGAAGCGACCUCGCGAGAGCAAGCGGACCUCAUAAAGUGCGUCGUAGUCCGGAUUGGAGUCUGCAACUCGACUCCAUGAAGUCGGAAUCGCUAGUAAUCGUAAAUCAGAAUGUUACGGUGAAUACGUUCCCGGGCCUUGUACACACCGCCCGUCACACCAUGGGAGUGGGUUGCAAAAGAAGUAGAUAGCUUAACCUUCGGGAGGGCGUUUACCACUUUGUGAUUCAUGACUGGGGUGAAGUCGUAACAAGGUAAGCGUAGUGCU